rnacentral:lncRNA from 1 species
GAAAAUAAGUUAUAUAAGAAGAGGUGUUGGGACUGAUUUCAAGCAGAGAAUAGACAGAGAGAGAGAUUAUCUGAAAGGAGAGAACAGAAAAAAAAGGGAAACAGAGGGAGAGAUAUACAAAGGGCAGAACAUAUAGAGAGGAAACUGGACAGAAAUAACAAAAGGAGCUGAAAAAUCAGUAGAGAAAACAAGAAAAGAUAGACAGAGAAAAGAAACAGAAAGAAAAAAAAAUUAGAAAAAGAGAGCACACACACAUACACACAGAAUCUGAAACAGAACAGAAAAAAAUAAGAGAGGUCAGAAAUAUUGUUUUCCUCAUAUCUGUCUUGGUUUGUUUGGUGAUACUGUUUGAUUGGAUCUGAAAUUUUCAUAAAAUUUCUGCUACUGUUCGUCCGGUUUUCACGGGUCUUGCUGUUUUGCUCAAAUCUGCUGAAUCAUUGGCAUUUUUCUGCUGGUUUUGUUGUUGCUGCUACUGCUGAACUUUACCUCUUUUACCCUCAUUUCCAGGUACAUAUAUGUAGACUCAUGUCAUGAAAAGCUUCAAUAAUGCCAGUAAAUGAAAUCUGAAAUUUCAAAUAUGUCUGUUGUUCAUCUUAAGGCAUUAGUCGAGUUUAAUUUUUUAAUUAACUAUUAGCUUGCGCUUGACAUGAGGAUUAUUAGUUAAUCAUCCCCUUUUGAAGUUCAUAUAAGC